UGCCAGCAGCCGCGGUAAUACGAGGGAUGCAAGCGUUAUCCGGAAUUAUUGGGUUUAAAGGGUCCGCAGGCUGUUUGUUAAGUCGGGGGUGAAAUCCUACCGCUCAACGGUAGAACUGCCUUUGAUACAGGCAAACUUGAGUUAUUGUGAAGUAAUUAGAAUGUGUAGUGUAGCGGUGAAAUGCAUAGAUAUUACACAGAAUACCGAUUGCGAAAGCAGAUUACUAACAAUUAACUGACGCUGAGGGACGAAAGCGUGGGUAGCGAACAGGAUUAGAUA
rnacentral:rRNA from 1 species